UACGUAGGGACCGAGCGUUGUCCGGAUUCAUUGGGCGUAAAGAGCUCGUAGGCGGCUGUUCAAGUCGAACGUGAAACUCGGGGCUCAACUCCGAGCCUGCGUUCGAUACUGGAUGGCUAGAGUCUGGUAGGGGGAUCUGGAAUUCCAGGUGGAGCGGUGAAAUGCGUAGAGAUCUGGAAGAACACCGAAGGCGAAGGCAGCGUUCUGGGAAGCAAGUGACGCUCAUGUGCGAAAGCCAGGGGAGCGAACGGG
rnacentral:rRNA from 1 species